AGUAACACGUGAGUAACCUGCCCUUGACUUCGGGAUAACUUCAGGAAACUGGGGCUAAUACCGGAUAGGAAUCCUUGCUGCAUGGUGGGGGUUGGAAAGCUUCGGCGGUUUUGGAUGGACUCGCGGCUUAUCAGCUUGUUGGUGGGGUAGUGGCUUACCAAGGCUUUGACGGGUAGCCGGCCUGAGAGGGCGACCGGCCACAUUGGGACUGAGAUACGGCCCAGACUCC
rnacentral:rRNA from 1 species